AAUAUUGGACAAUGGGCGAAAGCCUGAGACAGCCAUGCCGCGUCUGUGAAGAAGGUCUACGGGUGGUAAAGCACUUAGAGUUGCGAGGAAGGGGUUUACGCUAAUACCUUCAAUCUUUCACUUGACCGACAGAUGAAGUCCAGGCCAACUUCGUGCCAGCAGCCGGGGUAAUACGAAGGGUGCAAGCGUUACUCGGAAUUACUGGGCGUAAAGCGCGCGUAGGUGGUUUGUUAAGUUGGAAGUGAAAGCCCCGGGCUCAACCUGGGAACUGCUUUCAAAACUGGCAAGCUAGAGUAUGGCAGAGGGUGGUGGAAUUUCCUGUGUAGCGGUGAAAUGCGUAGAUAUAGGAAGGAACACCAGUGGCGAAGGCGACCACCUGGGCUAAUACUGACACUGAGGUGCGAAAGCGUGGGGAGCAAACAGG
rnacentral:rRNA from 1 species